GCAUACGUUACAUACCCAGAUAUACGUUACAAACCUACCACAAUAUAAGUCGCCUCACCAUGCUUUGAUCUUCUUCACAUCUCAAUUCUCAUAAAAACCCUUGUGAUCAAAGAGAGAGUGAGAAAUAUAGAAAUCUGUAGGUAACUCCAAUGGAGGAGAAUAGAGAAAUUCUCAUAUUCUCAAACAAGAAGAGAAUCAAACAGCAGCAUGAACAGAAAAGUUUGUGCUCACAACGAAUCAGCGAAUUACCAGAUUUCCACAGUAUGACUCACCUUCAAAUUCCUAGAACAUUCAUGAAUGCAGCCAGAUGAGGUGGGAGUGUGUAACCAAUGCUUUGCGUUGUUUAAGAUCUGUCCUUAAUGACAUCCAAGAAACAAAAAGGAAAAUGAUUAGAUGUAAUUAAGGAAAUAACAUGAAAGCAUUGGUUCACUUUGGCCUGCACAUGCAAUCAAAGAGCUUGAACUCUGCUUCUCAAAAGGAAAACUGUUCAGCUUCUUUGAUCAGAAACGUUGGUGGUGAUGAUUGCAUGUUCAUAUAUCCCAAGAAGGUUGUCAGGUACAACGAAAACUACUGACCAACUUGCCGAUAUCUUCCAGUAGGCCAUAUGAAGCGGGUGAACAAUAUCACUAUCAGAUAAUGUGUACAGUACACUUAAUUACUAUGGAUUAUACUAGCUUCAAACCAUUGAUUGUACAUGUUAGGUGCCACUUAGAAGUCAGAUCAGUGAUUUACCAGAUGUCUGCUAUUAUUUUUCACUGCAAUGUGUAGUUUUACCAUCUCUUUAUUUAUUAUUAUGAAAUGAACAAAACAUUGUAUUUAGAAAGGAAGAUCAUGAAUGUCAAAGCCUGAAUUUUAUGGAAUUGAUAUUGUAUGUGGAAAGUUGAAAAAAUAGAUCUGCUUAAUCGCAACAGCAUUGAUCUUACUUGCAACAUAUUUUGGUAAGUUUGUUACAAGAUUGAUUUAGUAUAGAGUUGAAUGGGUAUAUUUUUACUAAAUUCUAAUCUUAAUUUAACUACUAAUUGGUAGUUUCUUUUUAAACCCUAUCGUACUUAAAUUACUUUGGUUUCCUAUUGUUGUGAGGCUAAUUGGACAUUUGAAGUCACUAAAUGAUGAAACUUUUGGCUGAGUCAAAUAAUUUUGAUACUAGUCACUCAGAUUGUAACCUUCUAUAUCAAAGCAUUUUUAAAUUCCAUCCUCAUUUCAUUCUGAUAGUAAAUAAAUGGGAUUUUAGAGCUUCGGACAACACUUUAUUUCAAUGAAAAAUAGAAGUAGGUUUGGAGCUAGAAGGCUUUAAUUAUCAAAAUCUUGUAUGAUAUUUCAGGGACAAAUAUAGAACCUAAAGCUUUGGAAAAUGCUUCAUUUCCAUAUCAUAACAUUUUUCAUUCCAGUAAUGAGUCAAGUUUAUUCAUUAUUUGUAGUGCUGGUUUACCUCCAAAAAAAAAAAAAAAAUGCGAUUUGUAGUGAAGCAUUAGAAAGAAGAUAAAAACAACAAUUAUUUCCUGUCAUUUCUAAAAGGACCCAAGUGAAGGUUUUUAAAGUAGCUUGUGUAGAAAGGAGAAGGGUGCUAGAGAGGUUCUAGAAGUACUUUUGUGAUACAAGGUUCACUUGGUCCAAAUAUUUCACAUAAUGGUCACAUUGGUAGUGUAGUUUACACAUCUUGUGGUACACUAGUUGAACCUAGCCAUUCGAUGUGGUUAUGGUGGUUAACCUGCAACUUUACAUAGCAUGUUGGCAGUUUUGAGCUUAAUCUUUCCAAGUUUCACAAAAUUAAUCAACUUUUCUUCUUCAAGUUUUUGAAUUUUCUACAAUGACAUUUCAUAAUGGUUUGGAUAUAGUUUUGGUAAAAUGGCUGCUGGUGCCAAAGUUUCACAAAAGUCAGAUUUUUUUCUCCCAAUUUUUCGUUUGUUCAAUAAUGCUGGCUAUUUUUUAUGCCAUAAUGGUUUUAAUAUAGUUUGGCAAAAUGGCUGCUGGUGCCAGCAAUUGCUUGACACCAGGAGAUUGUCUUGGUGAAUAAACACGUGCAGGUUUAGGAAACGUCUUUGUUAAAUUGGUGAACAAUUUUGUACAUGUGUAUUCAGGAGAUAAUGUUCUUUUUUGCUUUGACGUCAAAUGGAAGUUUUAAUUUAUUUGAUUAGUUAAUGAAAAUCUCUCUCUCUCAUUAUUUGAAUUUCUGGAAUGCAAUGAUUGGCACUGUCAAUAGAAAUCUUAUUCUUGGCAAAAAAGAAGAAGGAAUCUUAUGGUACUUGUAUUAUGUAUUAUUUUGAACACCUAGUGUUUAUUUAUAGUUUCAUGCAUUUCUAUAAAGCGUGAAGUGCACAUUAAUUGAAACUAUGCUGUGUAAUCUAGUAAUCUACAAUCAUCUUCCUAGUGAAAAUUGUGCCUUAACUUGAAGAACUGUGUAUUAUUGCAUGCACCGAAAGCAGAAUAAAGAUAUUGAUUAUAUGGAACCUUGGUUUAUUUUAUCAGAUUCAAGUAUAUUUUUUCUUUUUUAUGAAGAACAUAUUUGACUUGGUACAACAGUUAUGGAUAGUUCUCUGUAAUGAUGUUGCCUUUUGCAUUAUUGGGACUGAUCUGGACUAUAAUUAUAAGUUUAUAACCCAUCAUUACAAAUGACAUAUAAUCUUCCUAUUUUAGCACACUAUAACAACUGAAACUCACGCUGGCCUCUAUGUUUCUUUAAUCUUUCUGGUGUGCAUAAUGAUGCUGACAGUAGAUCAGGGGGUAAUUGAUGCAGAAAGAUCAGUAAGACAAGACCAUAUUGUUGUUCUGACAAAACAUGGUAAAAUCAGUUUCAAAGAGAUUGUGUUUGCCUGAACAUGUGAUAUGCAUGGCUCUGGGAAUAUGAUCCAUCACUCUUGCCACAUGGAACACUUUUCCCCCAUGUUUGCAUGGCACAUAGUGUCUCUUCAGCCAAGUAGUGCUUGCAGAAAAAAGAAACGAUAUCUCCAAAUAUCCUGCUGGAACAUUAUGUACCUGCAUACCUGGCUGGAACAUCAUGUACCUGCAUACGAAGUCCCAAAGAAGAUGCCCAGCAAUUUUGUUAUAAGCUUAGCCAUGAGGAACUAUCCUCUGUAAUGAAGUAUGGCUUCUAUUUAAGUCUUCUAGACAUUAUAAUUGACUAACAAUCCUCUAGUCAUCUUGCUAGUAUUUUUCUUUGGGUCAUUCAUAGCCAUACAGGAAGCAUGAUGCAGUGGUUAAAGUUUCUGAAGAGUGAGUGGUAUUUAGAGUUCAUACUUAUUCUGCUACAUUGUAUGACCCAAGAGGAUGAGUUGGAAUCAGUGAUUUACACGCACACAUACACACUUUUUUGAACUAAAAUUGGGACUUAAAUUCACGAUAUUUGUGCAUAAGUGGUGUGUGUAUGGUAUGUGUAAGAGGGUGUGUGUA